rnacentral:lncRNA from 1 species
CUGGCUACUUCUUGAACACCCCUCACCUCCCAUCGUAAGCACUGUGCAGGUUUUAAAGCUACUUCCUACCAUCAUCUCCCUUAAUCCACACUUCCCCUUCCAGGAAAGGAUGAGUGCCUCACCCAGACAUCUGGCUGGUGCCCACAGCUGCAGAGUCCAGCCCUUUGCCUGUGGUGGGAGACCCUCACCCAUUCUCCCGGCGUGGGUCAGCGGUGCCUACCUUUACCCCGCCAGUUUGUACCGUAAGCCUUUGGGUAACGUGCACAUGUAUUUUCUCUAUUGCACUCCUCUAGUCGGGCACACGAUCUUCUCCAGCACUACUCCUGAAAGUGUCCUCAGGUCUGGGCUGUGCCCCAGCCGGACUUACAGAAUCAGGACCUACAGUUUAGCCAGCUGUAGUAGCCCAUGCCUGUCAUCCGAGCACUGGGGAGGCUGAGGCAGGAUCGCCAGCCUGAGUUACACAGUGAGUUCAAGGCCAGUCCGAAGUGCCUAUGGAGACCUUAUCUCAAAAAUAAACAAACAAAUCGGAACGUGCAGUUUAACAAGAUCCCCAGGAGAAUCAUGUUCACAUUAAAGUUCGAGGUCAGGUUGUGUAACACCCACUAGAACUUGCUCAGAGCAGAAUUUAACAAACGUUUCAAGCCCCGAGGCCCUGGGAAUCCUGGGGAUGCGCAGUUUUCAGGGGCAGCGGUGCCACGCUUCCUUCUCUGCUUGGAGCCCCCUCCUUUUGUGGCUGCACUGGGCUCGCGCCUCCCUGAAAUGACAAACAGGACACACCUUCCUAGCUGAGCCCAGAGCUGACCUCGGCUUGGGGCCCUAACACUUCUAAUGAGGAGCUCGCUCUAUUCCUAAGCUGGAACCGCCUAGCGCAAACUAGGGGUUUGUGAUAGUCAACACCGGGAUGUUUCCAGACUUGAUUUAUUGACUUGUCGGUUUCCAUUCUGUCACGAAUCUGAUUGACAAUGAAACACAGAAUGUGGCUCGGGGGGAUUCCUGCGGGUGUGUGCGCAGCCGCCGGGCUGUGUGCGCGCGCGUGUGUGUGUGUGUGUGUGUGUGUGUGUGCGCGCGCGCGCGCGCCUGAGCCCGAGGGGUGCUUGCGUGUGCAAACGACACGGGAGACGUGGGCGCCCGGCGGACUUGAUCGCGCUCCACAAGUGUUUGCCUGGAUUGAAAACAGCGCUGUCGUUUUCGGGGGAGGAGGCGGAGGGACGCAAGGCGCCCGACGGUUGGGGCGGCCCCUUGUCCGCCUCUCGCACCAGUCGCUGGGAACCGGGAGGGGAACCGGUCGGGGCGGUGUGCCCCCCGCGGGACACGCGCGGCGACACGUGGGGUA